AUACUGAGUGGCAAACGGGUGAGUAUAAUGUGGGAAUCUGCCUUUUGGUUUGGAAUAACACGGGGAAACUUGUGCUAAUACUGAAUAAGCCCUUACGGGGAAAGUUUUAAUGCCGAAAGAUGAGCCUGCACUUGAUUAGCUAGUUGGUAAGGUAAAAGCUUACCAAGGCAACGAUCAAUAGCUGUUCUUAGAGGAAGACCAGCCACAUUGGGACUGAGACACGGCCCAGACUCCUACGGGAGGCAGCAGUGGGGAAUCUUGCACAAUGGGGGAAACCCUGAUGCAGCGAUGCCGCGUGAGUGAAGAAGGCCUUUGGGUUGUAAAACUCUUUCGUCGGGGAAGAAAAUGACUGUACCCGAAUAAGAAGGUCCGGCUAACUUCGUGCCAGCAGCCGCGGUAAUACGAAGGGACCUAGCGUAGUUCGGAAUUACUGGGCUUAAAGAGCUCGUAGGUGGUUAAAAAAGUUGAUGGUGAAAUCCCAAGGCUCAACCUUGGAACUGCCAUCAAAACUUUUUAGCUAGAGUAUGAUAGAGGUAAGUGGAAUUUCUAGUGUAGAGGUGAAAUUCGUAGAUAUUAGAAAGAACACCAAAUGCGAAGGCAACUUACUGGAUCAUUACUGACACUGAGGAGCGAAAGCAUGGGUAGCGAAGAGGAUUAGAUACCCUCGUAGUCCAUGCCGUAAACGAUGUGUGCUAGACGUUGGAAAUUUAUUUUUCAGUGUCGCAGCGAAAGCAU
rnacentral:rRNA from 1 species